CCUACGGGGGGCAGCAGUGAGGAAUAUUGGUCAAUGGUCGCGAGCCUGAACCAGCCAAGUAGCGUGCAGGAUGACUGCCCUACGGGUUGUAAACUUCUUUUAUAAGGGAAUAAAAUGCGGCACGUGUGCCUUUUUGUAUGUACUUUAUGAAUAAGGAUCGGCUAACUCCGUGCCAGCAGCCGCGGUAAUACGGAGGAUCCGAGCGUUAUCCGGAUUUAUUGGGUUUAAAGGGAGCGUAGAUGGGUUGUUAAGUAUGUUGUGAAAUGUUGUGGCUCAACCGUAGCACUGCGACGGGUACUGGCUGGCUUGAGUGCAGGGGAGGUAUGCGGAAUUCGUGGUGUAGCGGUGAAAUGCUUAGAUAUCACGAAGAACUCCGAUUGCGAAGGCAGCUUACGGAAGCGCUACUGACGCUGAGGCUCGAAGGCGUGGGUAUCAAACAGGAUUAGAUACCCGAAUAGUC
rnacentral:rRNA from 1 species